UACGUAGGGUGCAAGCGUUGUCCGGAAUUAUUGGGCGUAAAGAGUUCGUAGGCGGUCUGUCGCGUCUGCUGUGAAAACUCAGGGCUUAACCCUGAGCUUGCAGUGGGUACGGGCAGACUAGAGUGCGGUAGGGGAGACUGGAAUUCCUGGUGUAGCGGUGAAAUGCGCAGAUAUCAGGAGGAACACCGAUGGCGAAGGCAGGUCUCUGGGCCGAUACUGACGCUGAGGAGCGAAAGCGUGGGGAGCGAACAGG
rnacentral:rRNA from 1 species